GCUGGGUGGAGUGGCAUGCACCUGGGAUCCCAAACACUUGGGAAGCUGAGGCAGGGGGAUCACAAGAUUUGAGUCUCAGCAACUUUUUGAGAUCCUUUCUCAA
rnacentral:sRNA from 1 species